AUUUGAUGAAGUGCUUGAAAUUAUUUUUUUUUUAACGUGGAAGUACCAUUAUAGGUUAAAGCUUAAAUUGCAAAUUUGAAACUGACUAAAACAUAUUUUUGUCUCUAUAUUAUAAAUUUUGUAUUAUUUUAGUAAUUGUAGUUUCAAUAAAAAGUAGUUACUGCAAUUACUAGUGAUUGUUUAGAAAACCCUUAUGAGUUGGUUACUAACUAACUGUCUUGGCCCGACUGUAUAAACUAUUAUAAAUCUUCUACGAUAUAUGUUUAAUUGGCUCAAAUGUGGAGGGGGAUGCAUGUGAGAAUGUUCACUAAUUGUCUUGGCAUGAGGGAGGUAUCCAACCUAACCAAUUAUCUUGCUCUUCUCUCUCAUUUUUCAAGAAAUAAGCCACGCAAGUUACAGUUCAUUAUGGAUCGGAGAGGAUGACUAAGGCUGUUGCUGAAUGAAAAUGAUGUCUCUUCUCUCAGGAGGUAAGGAGGUUUUGAUUGAAGCUGUGGCGCAAGCAAUUU
rnacentral:lncRNA from 1 species